rnacentral:rRNA from 1 species
GACGAACGCUGGCGGCGUGCUUAACACAUGCAAGUCGAACGCUGAAGCUUGGUGCUUGCACUGGGUGGAUGAGUGGCGAACGGGUGAGUAAUACGUGAGUAACCUGCCCUUGACUCUGGGAUAAGCCUGGGAAACUGGGUCUAAUACUGGAUACGACAUGUCACCGCAUGGUGGUGUGUGGAAAGGGUUUUACUGGUUUUGGAUGGGCUCACGGCCUAUCAGCUUGUUGGUGGGGUAAUGGCUCACCAAGGCGACGACGGGUAGCCGGCCUGAGAGGGGGACGGGCCACAUGGGGGCGGAGGAGCGCAGCGGACGCCAACGGGAGGCAGCGGGGGGGAAUGUGGCAAAAUGGGCGAGAGCCUGUAGGCGCGACGCCGGGUGGGGGAUACGGGCCUUGGGGUUGGAACCGUCUUGCAGACGGGAAAGAGGGAAGGGGAAGGUAGGGUAAAAAGAAGCGCCGGCUAGUUAGGGC